rnacentral:lncRNA from 1 species
CUUCAGAUAUAUGGGGUACCGUUGGCAGAGAAAAUAAACACAAAGAAAGGAAAAUAGAGGAGCUCCCUAAGAUGAAAAGGACGUCUUUCUUUGGUGUUAGUUUUAGAAAGUCUUAUAGUUCAUCAUAGAAUCAUUCAACUUCAGAGCUGCAAAUAUAGAGCUCACUAAUUCUUCCAGCCUAAAAGGUACAUGAUAGU